rnacentral:rRNA from 1 species
UACGUAGGGACCAAGCGUUGUUCGGAUUUACUGGGCGUAAAGGGCGCGUAGGCGGCCACGACAAGUCAGUUGUGAAAUCUCUGGGCUUAACUCAGAACGGUCAACUGAUACUGUCGGGCUAGAGUGCAGAAGGGGCAACUGGAAUUCUCGGUGUAGCGGUGAAAUGCGUAGAUAUCGAGAGGAACACCUGCGGCGAAGGCGGGUUGCUGGGCUGACACUGACGCUGAGGCGCGAAAGCUAGGGGAGCGAACGGG